ACGAACGCUGGCGGCGUGCUUAACACAUGCCAGUCGCACGGAAAGGCCCUGCUUUUGUGUGGUGCUCGAGUGGCGAACGGGUGAGUAACACGUGAGUAACCUGCCCUUGACUUUGGGAUAACUUCAGGAAACUGGGGCUAAUACCGGAUAGGAGCUCCUGCUGCAUGGUGGGGGUUGGAAAGUUUCGGCGGUUGGGGAUGGACUCGCGGCUUAUCAGCUUGUUGGAGGGGUAGUGGCUUACCAAGGCUUUGACGGGUAGCCGGCCUGAGAGGGUGACCGGCCACAUUGGGACUGAGAUAAGGCCCAGACUCCUACGGGAGGCAGCAGUGGGGAAUAUUGCACAAUGGGCGGAAGCCUGAUGCAGCAACGCCGCGUGCGGGAUGACGGCCUUCGGGUUGUAAACCGCUUUCGCCUGUGACGAAGCGUGAGUGACGGUAAUGGGUAAAGAAGCACCGGCUAACUACGUG
rnacentral:rRNA from 1 species